UGGGGAAUAUUGCACAAUGGGCGAAAGCCUGAUGCAGCGACGCCGCGUGAGGGAUGACGGCCUUCGGGUUGUAAACCUCUUUCAGUAGGGACGAAGCGCAAGUGACGGUACCUGCAGAAGAAGCACCGGCUAACUACGUGCCAGCAGCCGCGGUAAUACGUAGGGUGCGAGCGUUGUCCGGAAUUACUGGGCGUAAAGAGCUCGUAAGCGGUUUGUCACGUCGUCUGUGAAAUCCUAGGGCUUAACCCUGGACGUGCAGGCGAUACGGGCUGACUUGAGUACUACAGGGGAGACUGGAAUUUCUGGUGUAGCGGUGGAAUGCACAGAUAUCAGGAAGAACACCGAUGGCGAAGGCAGGUCUCUGGGUAGUAACUGACGCUGAGGAGCGAAAGCAUGGGUAGCGAACAGG
rnacentral:rRNA from 1 species